GGACCAGGGGAAUCUGACUGUUUAAUUAAAACAAAGCAUCGCGAAGGCCUGCAGCGGGUGUUGACACAAUGUGAUUUCUGCCCAGUGCUCUGAAUGUCAAAGUGAAAAAAUUCAAUGAAGCGUGGGUAAAUGGUGGGAGUAACUAUGACUCUUAAAAUGAAACCCUUAAAAUGAAAAAUAAAGUUCAU
rnacentral:ncRNA from 1 species